rnacentral:rRNA from 1 species
AGAUGGCGACCGGCGCACGGGUGAGUAACACGUAUCCAACCUGCCGAUAACUCGGGGAUAGCCUUUCGAAAGAAAGAUUAAUACCCGAUGGCACAAUUAGACCGCAUGGUCUUAUUAUUAAAGAAUUUCGGUUAUCGAUGGGGAUGCGUUCCAUUAGGCAGUUGGUGAGGUAACGGCUCACCAAACCUUCGAUGGAUAGGGGUUCUGAGAGGAAGGUCCCCCACAUUGGAACUGAGACACGGUCCAA